rnacentral:rRNA from 1 species
UACAGAGGGGGCAAGCGUUAUUCGGAAUUAUUGGGCGUAAAGGGCGCGUAGGCGGCCGAGCAAGUCUUGGGUGAAAUCCCUCGGCUCAACCGAGGAACUGCCUUGGAAACUGCUUGGCUUGAGGCCGGGAGAGGGUGGUGGAAUUCCCAGUGUAGCGGUGAAAUGCGUAGAUAUUGGGAGGAACACCAGUGGCGAAGGCGGCCACCUGGACCGGUCCUGACGCUGAGGCGCGAAAGCGUGGGGAGCAAACAGG